GGACCUGAGCCCAAGCACGUAGGGCACACCUCGGUCUCAUGUUUGCAAUACUGCCUAGCACCUUCCAUUGGCCUGAGCACGUAGGUCGCACGAGGGCUGGAUGCCUUGGACGCUAGUUAGGACCUGAGGUCCGAGCAUGCAGGGCAUGCCCCGGCUCCGUGUUCACAAUGCCAACCGGCACCUUCCCUCGACCUGAGCAUGGAGGGCAUGCGGGGGCUGGAUGUUUUGGACGUCAGCUGGGACCC
rnacentral:lncRNA from 1 species